ACAUUCGGGCAGUCGCUGCGCUGACAUGCGUAGAGGAAAGUCCAUGCUCGCACAGCCUGAGACGGCUGUAGUGUUCGUGCCCGGCGAAAAAAUAAGCCGGGACGGUCCGGCGUUCCGGACCGAUGGCGGGGAACCGGCCUGUGUCCUGACUGGAUAUGGCCGUAUUACCUUUAAAGUGCCACAGUGACGUAGUCUGUUUGGAAACAAACAGAGUGGAACGCGGUAAACCCCUCGAGCGGGAAACCCAAAUAUUGGUAGGGGAACCUUUCAGAAGGAAUGCAACGGAACGAAAGGGCAGGGAUAACCUCCCUGCAGAUAGAUGACUGCCACCGGCGUGCGAGGUGAACAACCGCAUGAAGCACAACGGGACAGAACAUGGCUUAUAUGA
rnacentral:RNase_P_RNA from 1 species